GUAGAGCACUCCUACGGGAGGCAGCAGUGGGGAAUAUUGCACAAUGGGCGCAAGCCUGAUGCAGCCAUGCCGCGUGUAUGAAGAAGGCCUUCGGGUUGUAAAGUACUUUCAGCAGUGAGGAAGGUGGGUAUGUUAAUAGCAUAUUCAUUUGACGUUAGCUGCAGAAGAAGCACCGGCUAACUCCGUGCCAGCAGCCGCGGUAAUACGGAGGGUGCGAGCGUUAAUCGGAAUUACUGGGCGUAAAGCGCAUGCAGGUGGUUUGUUAAGUCAGAUGUGAAAGCCCGGGGCUCAACCUCGGAAUUGCAUUUGAAACUGGCAAACUAGAGUACUGUAGAGGGGGUAGAAUUUUAGGUGUAGCGGUGAAAUGCGUAGAGAUCUGAAGGAAUACCGGUGGCGAAGGCGGCCCCCUGGACAGAUACUGACACUCAGAUGCGAAAGCGUGGGGAGCAAACAGGAUUAGAUACCCUGGUAG
rnacentral:rRNA from 1 species